UAGCUCAGCUGGUAGAGCAACGCAUUCGUAAUGCGUAGGUCGCCGGUUCAAGUCCGGCUUUCGGCU
rnacentral:tRNA from 1 species